rnacentral:lncRNA from 1 species
GUUCUCGUCCGCGUUUUGACUACACUUCCAGGUUAGCUCUCUACUUCAGUUGCUCGCAGCUAGCAACUCUGAAUGCACUUCAUCCCGUGUUAAUUAACUUUCAGAAUUGUGCUGCUUUGUUUAUAAAUGAUGCUGGCCAUACUAUAUGUCUUCGUCUGAAGUGAUUCUUCAUUGCCCUUGCAGAGUAGCAUUGAUUUUCUUUAGAAGUACCCUGUGGCCGAGUGUGACAUUUGGUUUAUCAAAUUCUAAUGUGAUUUUCACUUCAAUCAAUUAGCAAUAGGUAACACUUGAUAUUGACACUGUUAUCUGCAGAAUUAUUUUUGUAAGAUACUUAUGUGAUUGCCAACAAGUUUCUGAAGAUGACUGUGCUCGUGAUUAAUUGUUUGCUCAUAAACCAAAUCAUCUAUAUGCACCUGAUCAGGGUUAGAUGAAAUUCAAAGAGUAUAAUUCUUGUGGUUAAUCGUUUUCUCGUAAACAGGCAACUGCGAAGGCAAAAUCUACAUGUGAGAAGUGCAGAUGAGCCCCGCUGUGCUAAUUACCCGGUAAGUUCAACUAAGCAAGUUCAGCUAUUCCCAGUUUCUCCUCUGCAUGUGGUGGUGGUGCUAGCUACUAACUUCUACUAUGUUCCUGCAUGUACACUCUCAUAAUUUCCAGGCUGAGUAGUCCGCAACGCAAAUCUUAUGCUCUCUCAUCUUCCCUUGUAAACUACCUAAACAUUGAUGAUUGUAAACCAGCUGUUGAUUAAUGACUGAAUGUGAUCCAUAAAAAAAAGACAUGACGCCAUCUUAUUUCUUGAAAAUGUACAUGCCUAUCUAGAUUUUUUUAGAACAAAUUUUUUUUACUCGUAUGUCUAGGUUGUGACUUGUGAGUUGUGACUGAGUGUGAGUUGAAUAAUUAUUGUGUAGAAUUUUAGAUUUCUAUAUUUGUUCUUUGACAUAUGAGAGUUACAUUGUGUGAUUAAUUAGGUCAUAGAACAUUGAUUUGAUUUAUCUUCUGCCAGUAAGCAUUGUCCUGUAACAAAUGUUCAGUAAUGGCAUAAUCGGAUCACAUGCUGUAGAUGAAUGCCUAAAGUGUACAUAUGCUUUUUUUUUGACCGAAAGCAAUACUGUCUAGCUUUUUGAGAAAGCUAAAAGUCUGAUUACAAAAACAAGCAAAGAUGAGGCUGGGUGUCGAAAUAGUACAGAUCCUGCAGAAGUUCAAAUUUGUACUAUGAGGGUAUUUGCGUGUAGCAAAGUAGGGUGAUCAUUGCAUGGCAUGCCUUCAGUCCUUGGUAGUCAUCUAAUGUACAUAGUAUCCUUAAAGUUUCUUCAAGUUGAGGAAUGAUCAAACUUAAUAGCAGACAUCCAUUGUGAUAAGCUAUUAUUAUAUUUCAUUUAUUUGCCGGCUUAAUACAGCUACACUGUUGAUCUUUACUCCGAUUUAUCUUGUAGUAACUCCUAACACUCACUUCCUAACGCUCACUUAUUUGCCGGCUUGAUACAGCUACACUGUUGAUCUUUACUCCCAUUAAAAAGUCAAUUGGUGACGGCAGUCUGUCCACUUUCGUUACAACACAUGUUAUAUUUGGCACAAAUAUUAAGAUGAGAGCGGAUAUGGAUAUUUUGAUUUUGCAUAAACUGCGGAAAGAUCUUACAACACAGUUUUAAAAUUCCAUUUUAAUGAAUGAGUAUUGUGCUUGUAUGGGUGGCAUCAUACUGUAUUUCACAGUGCUGAAAAUCAAAUGCACAUUGUUUUCACAUAAUCACAUUGUAUUCAAACAAUCUGUGUGAUGUCUCAUUGUCAUCCUUUGCAGUAUUCUGAAUUGGCUGCUGAAGUACAUAAGUGAAGUCUAUUGGUGAAGGAGAUGUGAAGAAUGAUAUAGAGCAAGUAGAUAAAAACCGCAGUUGUUGGCCCAAGGUAGGCUCCUUCACUCAGAGUAUAUGUUGGGACGGUUUCUUGUUCGACAUCAAUUUCUGGUUGGAGAUUGAACUGUAUUCCAGUUUGAUUAUGUGAUUACAUCAAAUUUGUGCAUAUUAACUGAAAUGUGUAAUGCUACAAAGUAGAUAGGUUUUCCUAGCAUUUUACCACGGGGCGUCUCUUUUGUUUGUUUUCUGCCCCUUGUCUUGUACAUUCUCCAUUUAAUGACAUAUGGAUGGCUAACCAACCAUUUUUGUUUGUUUAUAACAG